rnacentral:rRNA from 1 species
AGCAGCCGCGGUAAUUCCAGCUCCAAUAGCGUAUAUUAAAGUUGUUGCAGUUAAAAAGCUCGUAGUUGAAUUUCGGGAUCGACGGGUCGGUCGCGCCUCUGGUGUGUACUGGCCCUGUCGGUUUCUCCCUUCUGACGAACCACGAUGUCAUUAAUUUGGUGUCGUGGGAAAUCAGGACUGUUACUUUGAAAAAUUAGAGUGUUUAAAGCAGGCAUUCGCUUGAAUACAUUAGCAUGGAAUAAUGAAAUAGGACGUUUGAUCUUAUUUUGUUGGUUUCUAAGAUCGACGUAAUGAUUAAUAGGGAUAGUUGGGGGCAUUAGUAUUCAAUUGUCAGAGGUGAAAUUCUUGGAUUUAUUGAAGACUAACUACUGCGAAAGCAUUUGCCAAGGAUGUUUUCAUUAAUCAAGAACGAAAGUUAGGGGAUCGAAGACGAUCAGAUACCGUCGUAGUCUUAACCAUAAACUAUGCCGACUAGGGAUCGGAUGAUGUUAAUUUUUUAAU